UUCCCCGGGCCCGCCCCGGUUUGACUCGCCCCCACUACCUCCUCCCCACUAACCCACGACGCCUAGCUCCCACCACCCCGUGCUGCAGCAACUACCGCUCGGACCCCUGCCGCCGCCGCCCCCAGACGCGCGCCGUCGCCUCUUCCCCCGGACGCGCCCCCAAUCCCGUUGUCCUCCCUCGCGCCGUCCCGGCGGUCGUCGCCGCUCCUUCACCCCCAGAUGCGCCCCCAAUCCCGGCGCCGCAACACCCUUAUCCCGGCGCGUCUCGGCAUCGUCGACCCUCGCGCCGUCCCGGCGAGGCGCUGCGCCGACGGCUUCCGUACCACCCCGACGAGGACGACCGCCUCCACGAGCAGCCGUUUGAAGCAGCUUCCAAUUUCUUGUUCAGUUCCCCUUCCAAUCCCGCUCGCCUGGACUGAAAUCGCAUUUCGGGGCAUUCUUCUCCGUGGCGUCAGUACCAUGAAUUGGACAGCGCUGCCAGCGGCAUGCUAUCGAAUUCGUCGGUGUCCGUCUGCCGCAGGGCGAGUGAGGCCGCCUGCACCUGCCGCAGUAGGCUGCAGUAGCACAUUUGGGGCACGAGGUGAGGAGGCUGUCGCGAGACGUUGUCACACCAAGUACUGUACUUGUGGAGUUGCUGCUGGUGCCGUAGUCGAAGAAUGAUGGCCGCGAACUACGAUGCUUCACGGUGAGGAUACUGUACCAAUGUCUCUUCUCUCCUCAUCUGUAUCAGGUGGAGCAAGGAACGAGGAUACUGUGCUACUAUCUCUUCUCUCCUCAUCUGUAUCAGGUGGAGCAGGGAAUAGCGUAUCUGGUUACAUCAGUGUUCGUUGCACGUCAGGUGCUUGAGCAAAUGCCAAUAUGCUAUGAACUUAGUGAGUUGAUGCACACCGACACAAUGGAAAGGGUGAGCUACGCCGAGAGUGGAUGUUGUAGCCUAGCAAACAUGGCAGGCAGAUUAGUGUGUUGACUGUUGACCAUCAUCAUUUCUUACUCGUUGUGUAUGUGUGCUUUUGGUGGAUGAUUAGAUGAAUCAUCACUGAUGCAUGAUCAGUGUUUGGGUAAAUAUCCCCAUGUUGAGUUGACACAGAAGGUGCAAGAGGCCGUCAAGAGGAGAGCAAGAUUGGGAGCUGGAAAAGGUGUCGUGGAGACAUUUUCAGAUGCUGAAGAGACAUCCAUGGAAGAAACUACAGCAGCAGCGGUAGCAGCAUACCAAAACAGCAUAGGGAUAGAUUAGAUAGAUGGUGUAUAUGUAGUAUUUCUUAGAACGAAUCCCGCUGUUAUCCGUUUUAUAGAAUAAAAGUUUUUAGUAUAUUGUGUCCUCAAUCUU